UGGGGAAGUCUUGUCCAAAGGGGAAAGACCUGACGCAGCAACGCCGCGUGCGGGAUGACGGCCUUCGGGUUGUAAACCGAUUCUAGCAGGGACGCGGUACCUGCAGAAGAAGCCCCGGCUAACUACGUACCAGCAGCCGCGGUAAUACGUAGGGGGCGAGCGUUGUCCGGAAUCAUUGGGCGUAAAGAGCUCGUAAGCGGUUCAGUAAGUCGGGUGUGAAAGCCCCGAGCUCAACUCGGAGAGGCCACUCGAUACUGCUGGACUAGAAUCCAGUAGGGGAGUGUGGAAUUCCUGGUGUAGCGGUGAAAUGCGCAGAUAUCAGGAGGAACACCGGCGGCGAAGGCGGCAUUCUGGGCUGGUAUUGACGCUGAGGAGCGAAAGUGUGGGUAGC
rnacentral:rRNA from 1 species